CUGGCUUGCUUUUAGUUUGUGUAGCAUGUUUACUAUUUUUGUCAAUUUCUUGAUUUGGGUGACCUGUCUAUUAAUAGAACGGAACAGCAGAAACAUCAACAAUGUGUGCUUGCAGGCAUGGUGUCAACGUGUCAUGGUGAAAAUAAAUGUGUAAUGUUUCUCUGUAGAGCAUGUUUUACACUUUUAGUGCCUCAUAUACAGCACACAAUUAUACAGUAGAGCAAUGCUUCAUGAUUGAGAAAAAAAUCGCAUGAUGUGGCGCUGUAAAUUCCAAGCAUUCCCACGGUGUUUAAGUAAAGUAAUAUAACUCAAAAGCUUUUC
rnacentral:sRNA from 1 species